GACGAACGCUGGCGGCGUGCCUAAUACAUGCAAGUUGAGCGCUGAAGGUUGGUACUUGUACCAACUGGAUGAGCAGCGAACGGGUGAGUAACGCGUGGGGAAUCUGCCUUUGAGCGGGGGACAACAUUUGGAAACGAAUGCUAAUACCGCAUAAAAACUUUAAACACAAGUUUUAAGUUUGAAAGAUGCAAUUGCAUCACUCAAAGAUGAUCCCGCGUUGUAUUAGCUAGUUGGUGAGGUAAAGGCUCACCAAGGCGAUGAUACAUAGCCGACCUGAGAGGGUGAUCGGCCACAUUGGGACUGAGACACGGCCCAAACUCCUACGGGAGGCAGCAGUAGGGAAUCUUCGGCAAUGGACGAAAGUCUGACCCGAGCAAACGCCCGCGUGAGUGAAGAAAGGUUUUUCGGAUUCGUAAAAAC
rnacentral:rRNA from 1 species